rnacentral:rRNA from 1 species
AGGACGAACGCUGGCGGCGCGCUUAACACAUGCAAGUCGAGCGAGAACCUGGCCUUCGGGCCUGGGGAAAGCGGCGAACGGGUGAGUAACACGUGAGCAACCUGCCCCUGGCUCUGGGAUAGCCUCCGGAAACGGGGAUUAAUACCGGACAUGACUCCUGACCGCAUGGUUGGGGGUGGAAAGUUUUUCGGCCAGGGUGGGGCUCGCGGCCUAUCAGCUUGUUGGGGGGUGACGGCCCACCAAGGCGACGACGGGUA